GGUGGCUUGUGGGGAAUGUUGGCUGGCUCGAGGCAUCCACAUCUUAAUUCCUCUCCGGCGAUCGAGCCGGCUCGGGCGUGUGGAGGCGUCGGACCAGGCUUCAUUCCUCGCAAGCCGAU
rnacentral:pre_miRNA from 1 species